UCAACUCGUAACUCCGAUUGAGCUGAUUCCGGUCCCAUUGGAAAGCUAACGAAUUUCUCUUCGAUUUGCACCUAUGGUUCGCGUUCAUAGCUUAUGUUUUGAAGGAGAAAAGUGAGCUUGAAGUUGGGACAUGCAUGCUGAUUGUGUGUUAAGGUGUGGCUGCGGAUUUGAUGAUGAAGAAUAUGAAUUUUGGGCAAGAAGAGAUUACCAUAGCAGCAAGAACAUGAUCUUAACCUCCAUUAAAUCCAAGGUGCAGUUUAGUAGCGUUUAGUCAGUAGCAGGUUUGGACUGAAGACUUGGAAGUGGUGAUGGCUCGGAGACCUCGUCAGAUCUCAUUUUCCGCUGUGCAGAUCCAUUGAAGAUACAUGUGUUGUAAUUCUUAUUAGGAUAUCAUGUUGUAUUUUAUAUGGAUCUCUCUAUAUCUAUAGCUUUUGUAUGUACUCAAUAUCAAUUUUAACGUUUCAUGCAUAAUAUACUAGUCAGUUAUGUA